rnacentral:siRNA from 1 species
UAUGAAGUUGUUGAGUGUCCCUA